AUGCAAGUCGAGCGAGAAUAAGGUAAGUGGAGACUUCGGUCAAAGUGAGCUUUAGGAAAGCGGCGGACGGGUGAGUAACGCGUGGGCAACCUGCCCCAUACAAAGGGAUAGCCACUGGAAACGGUGAUUAAUACCAUAUGAGGCUUCAGAUUCGCAUGAAUGAGAAGCUAAAGAUUUAUCGGUAUGGGAUGGGCCCGCGUCUGAUUAGCUAGUUGGUGAGGUAACGGCUCACCAAGGCGACGAUCAGUAGCCGACCUGAGAGGGUGAUCGGCCACACUGGAACUGAGACACGGUCCAGACUCCUACGGGAGGCAGCAGUGGGGAAUAUUGCACAAUGGGCGCAAGCCUGAUGCAGCAACGCCGCGUGAGUGAAGAAGGCCUUCGGGUCGUAAAACUCUGUCCUAUGGGAAGAAACAAAUGACGGUACCAUGGGAGGAAGCCCCGGCUAACUACGUGCCAGCAGCCGCGGUAAUACGUAGGGGGCAAGCGUUAUCCGGAAUCACUGGGCGUAAAGGGUGCGUAGGCGGUCCAUCAAGCCAGGGGUGAAAGGCAUUGGCUCAACCAAUGUAAGCCUUUGGAACUGAAGGACUUGAGUGCAGGAGAGGUAAGUGGAAUUCCUAGUGUAGAGGUGAAAUGCGUAGAUAUUAGGAGGAACACCAGUGGCGAAGGCGGCUUUCUGGACUGUAACUGACACUGAGGCACGAAAGCGUGG
rnacentral:rRNA from 1 species